UUAAAUUGAAGAGUUUGAUCAUGGCUCAGAUUGAACGCUGGCGGCAGGCCUAACACAUGCAAGUCGAACGGUAACAGGAAGCAGCUUGCUGCUUUGCUGACGAGUGGCGGACGGGUGAGUAAUGUCUGGGAAACUGCCUGAUGGAGGGGGAUAACUACUGGAAACGGUGGCUAAUACCGCAUAACGUCGCAAGACCAAAGAGGGGGACCUUCGGGCCUCUUGCCAUCAGAUGUGCCCAGAUGGGAUUAGCUUGUUGGUGAGGUAACGGCUCACCAAGGCGACGAUCCCUAGCUGGUCUGAGAGGAUGACCAGCCACACUGGAACCGAGACACGGCCCAGACUCCUACGGGAGGCAGCAGGGGGGAAUAUUGCACAAUGGGCGCAAGCCUGAUGCAGCCAUGCCGCGUGUAUGAAGAAGGCCUUCGGGUUGUAAAGUACUUUCAGCGGGGAGGAAGGUGUUGUGGUUAAUAACCGCAGCAAUUGACGUUACCCGCAGAAGAAGCACCGGCUAACUCCGUGCCAGCAGCCGCGGUAAUACGGAGGGUGCAAGCGUUAAUCGGAAUUACUGGGCGUAAAGCGCACGCAGGCGGUCUGUCAAGUCGGAUGUGAAAUCCCCGGGCUCAACCUGGGAACUGCAUUCGAAACUGGCAGGCUUGAGUCUUGUAGAGGGGGGUAGAAUUCCAGGUGUAGCGGUGAAAUGCGUAGAGAUCUGGAGGAAUACCGGUGGCGAAGGCGGCCCCCUGGACAAAGACUGACGCUCAGGUGCGAAAGCGUGGGGAGCAAACAGGAUUAGAUACCCUGGUAGUCCACGCCGUAAACGAUGUCUACUUGGAGGUUGUGCCCUUGAGGCGUGGCUUCCGGAGCUAACGCGUUAAGUAGACCGCCUGGGGAGUACGGCCGCAAGGUUAAAACUCAAAUGAAUUGACGGGGGCCCGCACAAGCGGUGGAGCAUGUGGUUUAAUUCGAUGCAACGCGAAGAACCUUACCUGGUCUUGACAUCCACAGAAGAAUCCAGAGAUGGAUUUGUGCCUUCGGGAACUGUGAGACAGGUGCUGCAUGGCUGUCGUCAGCUCGUGUUGUGAAAUGUUGGGUUAAGUCCCGCAACGAGCGCAACCCUUAUCCUUUGUUGCCAGCGGUUAGGCCGGGAACUCAAAGGAGACUGCCAGUGAUAAACUGGAGGAAGGUGGGGAUGACGUCAAGUCAUCAUGGCCCUUACGACCAGGGCUACACACGUGCUACAAUGGCGCAUACAAAGAGAAGCGACCUCGCGAGAGCAAGCGGACCUCAUAAAGUGCGUCGUAGUCCGGAUUGGAGUCUGCAACUCGACUCCAUGAAGUCGGAAUCGCUAGUAAUCGUGGAUCAGAAUGCCACGGUGAAUACGUUCCCGGGCCUUGUACACACCGCCCGUCACACCAUGGGAGUGGGUUGCAAAAGAAGUAGGUAGCUUAACCUUCGGGAGGGCGCUUACCACUUUGUGAUUCAUGACUGGGGUGAAGUCGUAACAAGGUAACCGUAGGGGAACCUGCGGUUGGAUCACCUCCUUACCUUAAAGAAGC
rnacentral:rRNA from 1 species